rnacentral:rRNA from 1 species
AAGGAACGUUGAAGACGACGACGUUGAUAGGUCGGGUGUGUAAGUGUAGCGAUACAUUGAGCUAACCGAUACUAAUGAACCGUGAGGCUUAACCUUACAACGCCGAAG